rnacentral:rRNA from 1 species
UGGGGAAUUGUUCGCAAUGGGCGCAAGCCUGACGACGCAACGCCGCGUGGAGGAUGAAGAUCUUCGGGUCGUAAAUUCCUUUCGACCAGGAUGAAUUCCUGCCGACCUAACACGUCGGCAGGGUGACAGUACUGGGAGAAGAAGCCCCGGCUAACUCCGUGCCAGCAGCCGCGGUAAUACGGGGGGGGCAAGCGUUGUUCGGAAUUACUGGGCGUAAAGGGUUCGUUGGUGGCCCGCUAAGUCAGACGUGAAAUCCCUCAGCUCAACUGGGGAACUGCGUCUGAGACUGGCGGGCUUGAGUGCAGGAGAGGAACGCGGAAUUCCGGGUGUAGUGGUGAAAUGCGUAGAGAUCCGGAGGAACACCAGUGGCGAAGGCGGCUUUCUGGACAGUAACUGACGCUGAGGCGCGAAAGUGUGGGGAGCGAACAGGAUUAGAUACCCUGGUAGUCCACGCCGUAAACGAUGGAUACUAGGUGUAGGAGGUAUCGACCCCUUCUGUGCCGGAGUUAAC